rnacentral:lncRNA from 1 species
UUAAAACAUCACAAUACUUCAGCCAAGGGCGUUUCUGGCCAAAUGUGCACGGGAUUUACAAUUGUUGGCUCUGUCACCAGCCGCGGCGCGCUUCAGACUUAGGUUCAAAACAGUCAAAAAAAGUACGGACACCCUCUAGCUCAGUGCAGCCACGUUUUUGUGGGGUAUUUCUUACUUUAUUUUCUGAUUAAAUUGAAGUUGUCUAAACAAAGCCAAAGCUGGGUAUAAUUUCGUUGAGUUGUAGCAGUGAAUAUUUAACAUUUAUCCCAAAACACUGAAUUCAUACAUGAGCGUCGACGAAGCCAGGAUUUGUAAACUAGGUGUGCGUAGUCGCACUAGGGUUUGUGGCCACGACACGGAGGUUCACUCGAGACUCAAGGAGACGUGUGGGCAUCACACAGCUUUGCAGCACGCCGUAAGACUUCCUUCAUUAUUGGAAAGUUUGGGAAAACGCAGGAGACAACCGAUACAUCAAUAUUAUUUUGGACCUCUCUUUACGGAUCAAGAGGAAUCAGUCAAAAUUCCCGUGAGCUGGAAGGCAUUCCGGAGUUGAGGACCAACAAUGUGCAAAGAAAUAAUAGCCGUGGUAGGCGGCCUAAUUGCAGGUCUUGUGGCAGCAGAGGUCUUUCAAUGCACCGAAUUUAAAAUUGUUUGCUGUGGCGGAGGGUGUGGUGUAAUCUGCUGGCUUUUUUGCCAUAUUGUUCAAGAGAGUAUUAAAGGUAGCUUUUAGACUGAUCCAGCAAGCUUCCCAGUGCUACAUUUUGAUGGUUGUUAGACGUAGUUGAAUCACAUACAUAACCCACUUACCAGGUGUGGCAAUGGAACUAUUGGAAUAGGAAAAGAUGUACACUUUGAGUGGGGGAUGGGUGCUGGUACAUGUGCCAUUCCAUAUGCGUAUUUUUCACACCACAUUGCGUCCAUGUACAUGCAUAAUUAUUUUAUGUAUUCUCCACUGUAAUUAAGGGAAAGUGAAAUGCGAUGGAUAAGGGAGUAAACCGAAAAAGUACUUAUGAAUUGACAGGAUUGGGUGCUCCAUCUUGUGCGUCAUGCACUCGCACACCCAAGCACAUACACACAGCGAGGACGCUGCCUCAUGAGAUAAACUAAAAAGAACUGGAAACCGAGGACACUAGCCUUGGACUGUCAUUACAAGUCAGGAAUACUUCCAACAGUCGCAAACUAGCAUCGAUGUUUCUAACAUCCUUGUUCCUUAUUACAGCCUUGGGUAUAAUUAUGGAGAUUGCAAGCAAAAGGGCGUCCUCUUUCAAAACUGUUGUCUCCAGUUUAAAAUAAAAACCAUGGGCGGGAUGAGCAGAUGGGUCGAUUGCAGUAUUUUUGGGCUAAGACUCGUUGAGUAUAAUUAUAACCUGCUAAUGUAGAGAGAAUUUGUGAAUUGAAAUACUUCUAUUGGCCUUUGAUGCAUCGUCGACAUAAUAGGGUGCGCUAUUUUUUAGUAGGUACAAUUUGGAGUAAACCCAAAAGAUGUACGUCCAAACCAAAUAGCGCACCUUUUGUGCCCGCCUUCCGCAAAUGGGCUAAUAACUGCUAUACGUCCUAGCUUUAAGUUUAAACACGUAGAUAGGCUGCAUUUGCAUGCUGUGACUGCAGCUGGAAAAGGGUCUAUGAUAGCCAAAGCCAAGCUACUCCUACAAUGCAUGAUAUGCGGCAAAGGGGGACCCCCCUCUAGUGUGUCUUCUUUUGUGUUGAUGGAAUCUUCGGAAUUCCUUUCAGAUUUCGGGGGGGGGGUGCAGUAGGCACAAUAGUCUUAGGGUAUACAGCUUGAGCAUCACAGGGUGGGGGUCCCCUUUUGCCGCAUAUCGUUCAUGAUAUAAAGCUGCUGCAGCCACUUCCCAGGCACGCGUGUUGCAUCUUACCAUAACUGAGCAUAUCUGCCUUGCGCAGAAGCGUCCCCUUAUCAGCUGAAAAGAGCCAUGUUUAAUAGUUGGGAGCGUUCAUUUUUGUUGGUAAGCGAUUGGUACAGUCCACUCAUUCAAGUGUUACUUUCUGGCCAGCUCAUUAGGCCUACCAUGAAAAAUACCCCGCAGUAUCUUUUCAACAAGUAGAUUGGUGGGCACCCAAAAUGGUGAGAUUAUGUAAAUAAUGUGUCAGGAUCAACGUCCUGCUUCUUUGGGCUUCCACCUGAGAGCUAAAUGAAUAAAAAUAGUUGGAAAAUUGUCCUUUAGUGCUCAAAAAUUGAGCCAUAGGCAUGCCAUUUGAAAAUGGCUGCAACAUGGAGAUUACGAAACUAUCACUAUUCUGGGUGAUUUUGUACAUUUGAAUGAUUAUAAAUAAAUAUCGCUAUUCCACCAAAAAUGAAAAGAAUUCGGAAGAUUAAGGACAAAAUGAUAUUUGAAAUUUGUUUAAGGAAACCAAGGAAUGUGGACUUGCAUAUUAUUGGUCAGUGCACAUGCUGUUUUCACUCUGUUUUCAAUGGGCACCUUCGAGUCGUAGGGGUCGUUUAACGAGUGAAUUUCUUGUUUGUGAACCAGUAGAAACGCAGUGUUCCCAUCAUGUCAUGGCCUAUAAAUAUCAACUGCAAAAUGUUAUUUAUUUUUUUCAUACUUCGGGGCUUGUUUUCAAUCUUGAAUUAACUUUCAGAUCUCAAAAAUUCUGUUAGUUUCCAAGAGAGAGUGAUAUAUAUAAUCGAUAUCCUAGUUCUCAAGAAUAUUUGUUUUUACAUUACAGUAAUGGAUGCUGUAUUGUUUCAGUUUGUGAUAAAUGCCCUUAGACUAUAAUUAUCUGAACCAACCAGUAAUAUAAAGCUUGUCGAGCAAGAGUGCGACCAUAUAAA